GCUGACGUAGCUCAGUUGGUAGAGCAGCUGAUUUGUAAUCAGCAGGUCCGGGGUUCGAGUCCCCGCGUCAGCU
rnacentral:tRNA from 2 species